CCUCUUCUCUCCACUACUACUGUCCCCCUCUCCACCUCUUCUCUCCACUACUACUGUCCACCUCUUCUCCACUUCUUCUCUCUCUGUGUCUCCCUUGUUCAUCUUGUCAGGUCAGUGUGGAUGUGAGAUGGGUUGUGGAUAUUCCUCAACGACCAGCACGGCUGGAGGAGGUCCAGCCGAAGCCUCCAAAGAAGAAGUCACAGAGGAGUCUGCACAACAAGAAGAAAAAAGGAUGAACUAUGGAGGUGUGUAUGUGGGACUACCAGCAGACCUGAGCAUUAUGCCUCCUAUCCAGAUGGGAACACACCAAGAUGAGUGAAGCAUCAUUGAAACACCUUUCACUAAAGGUAUAAUGCCAACAGCCCCGAUCUCAAAAGCAGAUGUCAAUAUCCUAUGUUAAACUCUCUGCCUCAAUCUCAGAAGUUCAUCUUUUGGGACUCUCACACCCACUACAGAGAGAGAGAGAGAGAACCUUCAGGAUAAUGAUGAUUUCAGCUAGAAUGAAGGAAUGAAUUGUUCUCUUUGAUCUCUGAUUGGCUCCAUGGGACCCAGUAGAACCCCUGGAGGACCAAUCAUCUCCCUCUCUCGCGCCAUAGGAACUGAACUGGGAUCAGUUUAUAAGGUGAGUAAUCAGACAAUGGGUCAUAUGCUCACCAUGGAUGUGACUGCUCAGGAAUCAGCAUUGUGUUUAAUAGGCACAAAACAGAAGAAAAAAGUCUAAAACUAAAUGAAAGGGAGAGGUACUUGUCCAAUAAGAAAUACUUGUUUUCAUUUGGGUUACACAAAAUUUGAAAACAGGCACCCUAAUGAACACGACCCAGGUCAAAGGGCAUCACGGAUGUUGGAGUCGGCAUUCACCACUCAGGAUCAUGAGACAAGACAACCUUCUACUCAGAACUAAAUGUCAGACGGGAUCAGAUAGGCCUAUUCAGAUCUCAGCAAUACCAGGAAACAAAACAAGACCUCUCUCAGAACUCCUAUUCAAAUAUUUCUUGAUUUUCUCUCUCUGUCUCUCAGUCAAUAGUUCUCAGAAAUUCUCUCAAUAGGAGCUGGAUCAAAUGUUCCCCAUUUUAUCAUUGGUCGAAUAGAGAAGAAUCUUUCUUCACUCAAUAUGUAACAUAUGUAUUUGGAGCAUCAAUAUGUAGCAUAUGUAUUUGGAGCAUCAAUAUGUAACAUAUGUAUUUGGAGCAUCAAUAUGUAGCAUAUGUAUUUGGAGCAUCAAUAUGUAGCAUAUGUAUUUGGAGCAUCAAUAUGUAGCAUAUGUAUUU